AUUAACUAAUCUAAGCUAUGAUCGGUCAAAGUUUUCGGUCAAAGUUUUUUUGGUUUUAUUCUUUCUUUUUUUUAAAUUAAAAAAAAAAAAAACAGGAAAAGACUUGCAAAGAAAUAGAAUUACUGGAAUGAACACAAUAAAGGAUGAAACUCAAGCAAUUAAAAAUAAAUUAUAUCUAUGAUGAUCAUCUCUGUGUCACACUCAAUGAGGUUUUGGGUGGCAUCCUGAUUGCGGUUAAUUUCUUCAUCCUUCUUUUGUGGUUUUAUUUUAUUUCAGUCCUUCAAAUCUUUUUCUUUUGCUAUUUCAUCGAGUUGCUUUGCUCUUGAGUUGAUGUGCUUGCCCUAGAAUAUGCAUUAUGCUAGGGAUUACAGUUACAUUACAUAAGAAAUUAUAAUUACAAAUUAUAAUUAAAAAUUUCAGUUU